UUCACUAGUGAUUGUUUCAGCCGCCGCGGUAAUACAUAGGGUGCAAGCGUUGUCCGGAAUUAUUGGGCGUAAAGAGCUCGUAGGUGGUUCGUAACGUCGGGUGUGAAAAUCUGGGGCUCAACCCCAGACCUGCAUUCGAUACGGGCGAACUAGAGUGUGGUAGGGGAGACUGGAAUUCCUGGUGUAGCGGUGGAAUGCGCAGAUAUCAGGAGGAACACCAAUGGCGAAGGCAGGUCUCUGGGCCAUUACUGACACUGAGGAGCGAAAGCGUGGGGAGCGAACAGGAUUAGAUACCCUGGUAGUCCACGCCGUAAACGGUGGGCACUAGUUGUGGGAACCUUCCACGGUUUCUGCGACGCAGCUAACGCAUUAAGUGCCCCGCCUGGGGAGUACGAUCGCAAGAUUAAAACUCAAAGGAAUUGACGGGGCCCCGCACAAGCAGCGGAGCAUGCGGCUUAAUUCGACGCAACGCGAAGAACCUUACCAAGGCUUGACAUAUACCGGAAUAUGGCAGAAAUGUCAUAGCUGUAAAAGGUCGGUAUACAGGUGGUGCAUGGUUGUCGUCAGCUCGUGUCGUGAGAUGUUGGGUUAAGUCCCGCAACGAGCGCAACCCUCGUUCUGUGUUGCCAGCAUUUAGUUGGGGACUCACAGGAGACUGCCGGGGUCAACUCGGAGGAAGGUGGGGAUGACGUCAAAUCAUCAUGCCCCUUAUGUCUUGGGCUGCACGCAUGCUACAAUGGUCGGUACAAAGGGCUGCGAUACCGCAAGGUGGAGCGAAUCCCAAAAAGCCGGUCUCAGUUCGGAUUGGGGUCUGCAACUCGACCCCAUGAAGUCGGAGUUGCUAGUAAUCGCAGAUCAGCAACGCUGCGGUGAAUACGUUCCCGGGGCUUGUACACACCGCCCGUC
rnacentral:rRNA from 1 species